rnacentral:rRNA from 1 species
CCCGCACAAGCGGUGGAGCAUGUGGUUAAUUCGAAGCAACGCGAAGAACCUUACCAGGCCUUGACAUGCAGAGAACUUUCCAGAGAUGGAUUGGUGCCUUCGGGAACUCUGACACAGGUGCUGCAUGGCUGUCGUCAGCUCGGUGUCGUGAGAUGUUGGGUUAAGUCCCGUAACGAGCGCAACCCUUGUCCUUAGUUACCAGCACGUUAUGGUGGGCACUCUAAGGAGACUGCCGGUGACAACCGGAGGAAGGUGGGGAUGACGUCAAGUCAUCAUGGCCCUUACGGCCUGGGCUACACACGUGCUACAAUGGUCGGUACAAAGGGUUGCCAAGCCGCGAGGUGGAGCUAAUCCCAUAAAACCGAUCGUAGUCCGGAUCGCAGUCUGCAACUCGACUGCGUGAAGUCGGAAUCGCUAGUAAUCGUGAAUCAGAAUGUCACGGUGAAUACGUUCCCGGGCCUU